ACUCCUACGGGAGGCAGCAGUAGGGAAUCUUCGGCAAUGGGGGCAACCCUGACCGAGCAACGCCGCGUGAGUGAAGAAGGUUUUCGGAUCGUAAAGCUCUGUUGUAAGUCAAGAACGAGUGUGAGAGUGGAAAGUUCACACUGUGACGGUAGCUUACCAGAAAGGGACGGCUAACUACGUGCCAGCAGCCGCGGUAAUACGUAGGUCCCGAGCGUUGUCCGGAUUUAUUGGGCGUAAAGCGAGCGCAGGCGGUUUGAUAAGUCUGAAGUUAAAGGCUGUGGCUCAACCAUAGUUCGCUUUGGAAACUGUCAAACUUGAGUGCAGAAGGGGAGAGUGGAAUUCCAUGUGUAGCGGUGAAAUGCGUAGAUAUAUGGAGGAACACCGGUGGCGAAAGCGGCUCUCUGGUCUGUAACUGACGCUGAGGCUCGAAAGCGUGGGGAGCGAACAGGAUUAGAAACCCUGGUAGUCCCAU
rnacentral:rRNA from 1 species